rnacentral:piRNA from 1 species
UAGGAAUGGUGCCAUAGGCUCAUAGGCUU